rnacentral:rRNA from 1 species
CACAUGCUGUGAGCUCGAUGAGUAGGGCGGGACACGUGGUAUCCUGUCUGAAUAUGGGGGGACCAUCCUCCAAGGCUAAAUACUCCUGACUGACCGAUAGUGAACCAGUACCGUGAGGGAAAGGCGAAAAGAACCCCGGCGAGGGGAGUGAAAAAGAACCUGAAACCGUGUACGUACAAGCAGUGGGAGCACGCUUCGGCGUGUGACUGCGUACCUUUUGUAUAAUGGGUCAGCGACUUAUAUUCUGUAGCAAGGUUAACCGAAUAGGGGAGCCGAAGGGAAACCGAGUCUUAACUGGGCGUUAAGUUGCAGGGUAUAGACCCGAAACCCGGUGAUCUAGCCAUGGGCAGGUUGAAGGUUGGGUAACACUAACUGGAGGACCGAACCGACUAAUGUUGAAAAAUUAGCGGAUGACUUGUGGCUGGGGGUGAAAGGCCAAUCAAACCGGGAGAUAGCUGGUUCUCCCCGAAAGCUAUUUAGGUAGCGCCUCGUGAACUCAUCUCCGGGGGUAGAGCACUGUUUCGGCAAGGGGGUCAUCCCGACUUACCAACCCGAUGCAAACUGCGAAUACCGGAGAAUGUUAUCACGGGAGACACACAGCGGGUGCUAACGUCCGUCGUGAAGAGGGAAACAACCCAGACCGCCAGCUAAGGUCCCAAAGUCAUGGUUAAGUGGGAAACGAUGUGGGAAGGCCCAGACAGCCAGGAUGUUGGCUUAGAAGCAGCCAUCAUUUAAAGAAAGCGUAAUAGCUCACUGGUCGAGUCGGCCUGCGCGGAAGAUGUAACGGGGCUAAACCAUGCACCGAAGCUGCGGCAGCGACGCUUAUGCGUUGUUGGGUAGGGGAGCGUUCUGUAAGCCUGUGAAGGUGUGCUGUGAGGCAUGCUGGAGGUAUCAGAAGUGCGAAUGCUGACAUAAGUAACGAUAAAGCGGGUGAAAAGCCCGCUCGCCGGAAGACCAAGGGUUCCUGUCCAACGUUAAUCGGGGCAGGGUGAGUCGACCCCUAAGGCGAGGCCGAAAGGCGUAGUCGAUGGGAAACAGGUUAAUAUUCCUGUACUUGGUGUUACUGCGAAGGGGGGACGGAGAAGGCUAUGUUGGCCGGGCGACGGUUGUCCCGGUUUAAGCGUGUAGGCUGGUUUUCCAGGCAAAUCCGGAAAAUCAAGGCUGAGGCGUGAUGACGAGGCACUACGGUGCUGAAGCAACAAAUGCCCUGCUUCCAGGAAAAGCCUCUAAGCAUCAGGUAACAUCAAAUCGUACCCCAAACCGACACAGGUGGUCAGGUAGAGAAUACCAAGGCGCUUGAGAGAACUCGGGUGAAGGAACUAGGCAAAAUGGUGCCGUAACUUCGGGAGAAGGCACGCUGAUAUGUAGGUGAAGUCCCUCGCGGAUGGAGCUGAAAUCAGUCGAAGAUACCAGCUGGCUGCAACUGUUUAUUAAAAACACAGCACUGUGCAAACACGAAAGUGGACGUAUACGGUGUGACGCCUGCCCGGUGCCGGAAGGUUAAUUGAUGGGGUUAGCGGUAACGCGAAGCUCUUGAUCGAAGCCCCGGUAAACGGCGGCCGUAACUAUAACGGUCCUAAGGUAGCGAAAUUCCUUGUCGGGUAAGUUCCGACCUGCACGAAUGGCGUAAUGAUGGCCAGGCUGUCUCCACCCGAGACUCAGUGAAAUUGAACUCGCUGUGAAGAUGCAGUGUACCCGCGGCAAGACGGAAAGACCCCGUGAACCUUUACUAUAGCUUGACACUGAACAUUGAGCCUUGAUGUGUAGGAUAGGUGGGAGGCUUUGAAGUGUGGACGCCAGUCUGCAUGGAGCCGACCUUGAAAUACCACCCUUUAAUGUUUGAUGUUCUAACGUUGACCCGUAAUCCGGGUUGCGGACAGUGUCUGGUGGGUAGUUUGACUGGGGCGGUCUCCUCCUAAAGAGUAACGGAGGAGCACGAAGGUUGGCUAAUCCUGGUCGGACAUCAGGAGGUUAGUGCAAUGGCAUAAGCCAGCUUGACUGCGAGCGUGACGGCGCGAGCAGGUGCGAAAGCAGGUCAUAGUGAUCCGGUGGUUCUGAAUGGAAGGGCCAUCGCUCAACGGAUAAAAGGUACUCCGGGGAUAACAGGCUGAUACCGCCCAAGAGUUCAUAUCGACGGCGGUGUUUGGCACCUCGAUGUCGGCUCAUCACAUCCUGGGGCUGAAGUAGGUCCCAAGGGUAUGGCUGUUCGCCAUUUAAAGUGGUACGCGAGCUGGGUUUAGAACGUCGUGAGACAGUUCGGUCCCUAUCUGCCGUGGGCGCUGGAGAACUGAGGGGGGCUGCUCCUAGUACGAGAGGACCGGAGUGGACGCAUCACUGGUGUUCGGGUUGUCAUGCCAAUGGCACUGCCCGGUAGCUAAAUGCGGAAGAGAUAAGUGCUGAAAGCAUCUAAGCACGAAACUUGCCCCGAGAUGAGUUCUCCCUGACUCCUUGAGAGUCCUGAAGGAACGUUGAAGACGACGACGUUGAUAGGCCGGGUGUGUAAGCGCAGCGAUGCGUUGAGCUAACCGGUACUAAUGAACCGUGAGGCUUAACCUUACAACGCCGAAG